GAUGAACGCUGGCGGCGUGCUUAACACAUGCAAGUCGAACGAUGAAGCCCAGCUUGCUGGGUGUUUUAGUGGCGAACGGGUGAGUAACACGUGAGUAACCUGCCCUUAACUCUGGGAUAAGCUUGGGAAACUGGGUCUAAUACCGGAUAGGAGCGUCCACCGCAUGCAGGGUGUUGGACAGAUUUAUCGGUUUUGGAUGGAUUCGCGGCCUAUCAGCUUGUUGGUGGGGUAAUGGCUCACCAAGGCGACGACGGGUAGCCGGCCUGAGAGGGUGACCGGCCACACUGGGACUGAGAGACGGCCCAGAGUCCAACGGGGGGCAGCAGUGGGGAAUAUUGCACAGUGGGCGCAAGCCUGAUGCAGCGACGCCGCGGGAGGGAUGACGGCCUUCGGGUGGUAAACCUCUUUCAGUAGGGAAGAAGCGAAAGUGACGGUACCUGCAGAAGAAGCACCGGCUAACUACGUG
rnacentral:rRNA from 1 species